rnacentral:rRNA from 1 species
AUUGAACGCUGGCGGCAGGCCUAACACAUGCAAGUCGAGCGGUAACACAGGGAGCUUGCUCCUGGGUGACGAGCGGCGGACGGGUGAGUAAUGUCUGGGAAACUGCCUGAUGAAGGGGGAUAACUACUGGAAACGGUAGCUAAUACCGCAUAACGUCGCAAGACCAAAGAGGGGGACCUUCGGGCCUCUUGCCAUCAGAUGUGCCCAGAUGGGAUUAGCUAGUAGGUGGGGUAACGGCUCACCUAGGCGACGAUCCCUAGCUGGUCUGAGAGGAUGACCAGCCACACUGGAACUGAGACACGGUCCAGACUCCUACGGGAGGCAGCAGUGGGGAAUAUUGCACAAUGGGCGCAAGCCUGAUGCAGCCAUGCCGCGUGUAUGAAGAAGGCCUUCGGGUUGUAAAGUACUUUCAGCGGGGAGGAAGGUGCUGAGGUUAAUAACCUCAGCAAUUGACGUUACCCGCAGAAGAAGCACCGGCUAACUCCGUGCCAGCCGCCGCGGUAACAC